rnacentral:rRNA from 1 species
UACGUAGGGUGCAAGCGUUGUCCGGAAUUAUUGGGCGUAAAGAGCUCGUAGGCGGUCUGUCGCGUCGGCUGUGAGAACUCGGGGCUCAACUCCGAGCUUGCAGUCGAUACGGGCAGGCUAGAGUUCGGCAGGGGAGACUGGAAUUCCUGGUGUAGCGGUGAAAUGCGCAGAUAUCAGGAGGAACACCGGUGGCGAAGGCGGGUCUCUGGGCCGGAUACUGACGCUGAGGAGCGAAAGCGUGGAGAGCGAACAGG